UACAGAGGUCUCAAGCGUUGUUCGGGUUCAUUGGGCGUAAAGGGUGUGUAGGUGGCGCGCUAAGUCGGGUGUGAAAUUUCGGAGCUUAACUCCGAAACUGCAUUCGAUACUGGCGUGCUUGAGGACUGGAGAGGAGACUGGAAUUCAUGGUGUAGCAGUGAAAUGCGUAGAGAUCAUGAGGAAGACCAGUGGCGAAGGCGGGUCUCUGGACAGUUCCUGACACUGAGACACGAAGGCCAGGGGAGCAAACGGG
rnacentral:rRNA from 1 species